CUAGUUCCUAUCUCAAGUGAACCCUCAAUGAUCGCAUCACCCCCAUAUUCUCCACCUCCAACACCAGUGGACGUCGUCCCUGUCUCAAAAUCCAAAUCUUUCCGAAAGUGGGUUUAUGUGGCUGUUGGCAUUGGAGGUGGUUUGCUUAUCCUCGUUACGUUCUCUGGUCUUUCAUAUUGGUAUUUUCGUACUCCUCCUCCGUCUCAUCAGAAACCUCAGGAGGCCAAUGUAUCCAAAAUUAAUGAUCUCCCUUUUCCUUAUGAGGGAAUUAAAUAUUCAAUUGAGUCUUUGAUCAUCUACAAAUUUGAGGAUAUCCAAACUGCCACGGGCUAUUUCAAUGAAG
rnacentral:misc_RNA from 1 species